AAAAUAAUUGUUCAGGACAGAAUCCAGACUGAAGCUGCUGUGACCCUGGAAGUAAGAUAUGCUCCUGAAAUCCUGAAUAGCUCCCGCUGUGUGAUGUGGGGUGAUGAACUGUCCUGCAUGUGCAUCAGCAGUGGUGUGCCGUUACCCCUCAUACAGUGGCCAACACUGGAUGAUCCCACUAACUAUUGCAGUACCUACAGAAAGAACACCAUCAUCAUUUGCAACAUCUCUAUUUCUGGUAUCAGGAACGUCAAGGAUACCAUUGAAUGUAUUGCUGAGAACGUCAUUGCUACAACAAGCAUGCAAAUCCAAGUGCACAAUCAGACUGAAACACCCAAAGCAAAUUUGGGUCUGUCCAUGUCCUGGAUUUUCUGCACGCUUUCUGUUGUUUUAAACAUCAUCUUUGGCUCUUGUACUGUCGUCCUAUGGUAUGAUCUUUUGAACAUUUGAGAGAAGAUGGCUUACUUAUGAAAACUAAUCAUUG
rnacentral:lncRNA from 1 species